AUAUGUCAGUGAUGAGACUGCAGAAUGAAUGCUGGGGAUUGGGACCAAGAAAAUUCUGAAGAACUGAAUCCUCCUCCCUUACUUUUCCAAAU